rnacentral:rRNA from 1 species
AUUGAACGCUGGCGGCAGGCCUAACACAUGCAAGUCGAACGAGUGGCGGACGGGUGAGUAAUGUCUGGGAAACUGCCUGAUGGAGGGGGAUAACUACUGGAAACGGAAGAUAAUACCGCAUACCCUCAGAUAUGCGCAGAGGGGAUUAGCAAGUGGGUGGGGUACCGGCUCACCACGGCGACGAGCCCGAGGUGGUCAGAGAGGAUGACCAGCCACCCUGGAACUGAGACACGGUCCAUACUCCUACGGGAGGCAGCAGUGGGGAAUAUUGCACAAUGGGCGCAAGCCUGAUGCAGCCAUGCCGCGUGUAUGAAUAAGGCCUUCGGGUUGUAAAGUACUUUCAGCGGGGAGGCGUUACCCGCAGAAGAAGCACCGGCUAACUCCGUGCCAGCAGCCGCGGUAAUUC